GCACUCCUACGGGAGGCAGCAGUAGGGAAUCUUCCACAAUGGGCGAAAGCCUGAUGGAGCAACGCCGCGUGGGUGAAGAAGGUCUUCAGAUCGUAAAACCCUGUUGUUAGAGAAGAAAGUGCGUGAGAGUAACUGUUCACGUUUCGACGGUAUCUAACCAGGAAGCCACGGCUAACUACGUGCCAGCAGCCGCGGUAAUGCGUAGGUGGCAAGCGUUAUCCGGAUUUAUUGGGCGUACAGGGAACGCAGGCGGUCUUUUAAGUCUGAUGUGAAAGCCUUCGGCUUAACCGGCGUAGUGCAUUGGG
rnacentral:rRNA from 1 species